rnacentral:misc_RNA from 1 species
CAACCCUCAAGCCCUCCGGCUUGGUGUUGGGGACCGGCCGCCUACCUCACGGCGGUGGCCGCCCCCGAAAUCUAGUGGCGGUCUCGCUGUAGCUUCCCCUGCGUAGUAAUUCACCUCGCACUGGAGCGCGGCGCGGCCACGCCGUGAAACCCCCAACUUUCUGAAGG